rnacentral:rRNA from 1 species
UACGAAGGGGGGCUAGCGUUGCUCGGAAUCACUGGGCGUAAAGCGCACGUAGGCGGAUUGUUAAGUCAGGGGUGAAAUCCUGGAGCUCAACUCCAGAACUGCCUCUGAUACGGCAUGGCUUGAGUCCGGGAGAGGGGAGCGGAAUUCCCAGUGUAGCGGUGAAAUGCGUAGAUAUUGGGAGGAACACCGGUGGCGAAGGCGGCUCCCUGGACCGGUACUGACGCUGAGGCGCGAAAGCGUGGGUAGCAAACAGG